GGGGCUGUUUUGGCUUCGACAGGUGUUAUGGAUUAUAAACUGCAAGUCGGAGGCACACGUUAAGUGCAACAAAAAAAUAACUGGAAACAGAAAUCAAUUAGCUUUCGCUUAAUAGAUUAGAAGGCGCUUCUUAUUUAUCUUUUCCUACGAGAUAAUAAGAGGCUCGAUUUAGUAGGAUAUAUUAUUAUGAUGCUUAUAAGUAAUAAUGAAUUAUAUAAGCUUACUAAUAAAUUUGUUGUUAGUUACUUUAUUUGUUAGGACAUUCAUUAACUAAAUAAACUUGUAGACGUUUAUAUGAAUUGAUACUUGGACAGGGGUUCAAUUCCCCUCAGCUCCACCA
rnacentral:tmRNA from 1 species